rnacentral:rRNA from 1 species
UACAGAGGGGGCAAGCGUUAUUCGGAAUUAUUGGGCGUAAAGGGCGCGUAGGCGGCUUUGCAAGUGACGGGUGAAAUCCCUCGGCUUAACCGAGGAACUGCCUGUCAGACUGCAUGGCUUGAGACCGGGAGAGGUGAGUGGAAUUCCCAGUGUAGCGGUGAAAUGCGUAGAUAUUGGGAGGAACACCAGUGGCGAAGGCGGCUCACUGGACCGGUACUGACGCUGAGGCGCGAAAGCGUGGGGAGCGAACAGG